GAUGAAGAACGUAGCGGAAUGCGAUACGUAAUGUGAAUUGCAGAAUUCAGUGAAUCAUCGAAUCUUUGAACGCAUAUUGCGCUCUCUGGUAUUCCGGAGAGCAUGCUUGUUUGAGUAUCAGUAAACACCUCAACUCCCUUUUCUUUUUUGAAAUUGGAGCUGGACUUGAGUGAUCCCAACGCUUUCUUCCAAGAAAGUGGCGGGUUGCUUGAAAUGCAGGUGCAGCUGAACUUUUCUCUGAGCUAUAAGCAUAUCUAUUUAGUCUGCCUAAAAAACAGAUUAUUACCUUUGCUGCAGCUAACAUAAAGGAGACUAGUUCUUGUGCUGACUGAUGCAGGAUUCACAGAGACAGCUUCGGCUGACUUUGUAAACUCGAUCUCAAAUCAAGUAAGACUACCCGCUGAACUUAAGCAUAUCAAUAAGCGGAGGA
rnacentral:misc_RNA from 1 species